UACGUAGGGGGCAAGCGUUGUCCGGAUUUACUGGGCGUAAAGCGCGCGUAGGCGGAACUUCAAGUCCGGUCUGAAAGCCCCCGGCUCAACCGGGGAGGGUGGCUGGAAACUGGGGUUCUUGAGGGCGAGAGAGGAGGGUGGAAUUCCUGGUGUAGCGGUGAAAUGCGUAGAGAUCAGGAAGAACACCGGUGGCGAAAGCGCUCUGCUGGACCUUAACUGACACUGAGGGACGAAAGCUAGGGGAGCGAAGGGG
rnacentral:rRNA from 1 species